rnacentral:tRNA from 4 species
GGCCCGUUGGUCAAGCGGUCUAAGACGGCGGCCUCUCACGCCGCAAACAUGGGUUCGAUUCCCGUACGGGUCACCA